rnacentral:lncRNA from 1 species
GUGAAUCUUCAAGAUUGAUCCAGAGUUCAGUUUGGCUCAAAGAGGGACUGGUCAGUCCUGGAGAGCAGAGGUGGGAGGCUUAAGAGAGGAGAUGCUUGUUGGACUGAGUCUAAAAAAUUUCCAGAUGCUGCUGUGGCUGAUGAUCUGGAGACCUUACUCUGAGAACCUCUCCUCUGCAGGACGUGGCCACCAGUAGGAUGUGUGAAAAGAGGGAGAGGGAGAAGUCGACAAAGAAUUUCUGGAAAAGUGGGGAUGAUGUGUGCAAGCACAGUACCUGGCUGACACACAGGAGCAUCUCAAUAAGAGUGACUAUCAUUAUUGCCGUGAGACCACUUUCUAGCUGAGGUGAGCAGAAUCAAAGCCGCAAACCCUCAACAAGGGUGCAAGAUGUCUAGAAGAACAGAGGAAGCCAUUUAAAAUGCUCAAAAAAUAAAAUGAAAUAAAAUCAGAGACCAGUGGG